CAGGCCUAACACAUGCAAGUCGAGCGAAUGGAUUGAGAGCUUGCUCUCAUGAAGUUAGCGGCGGACGGGUGAGUAACACGUGGGUAACCUGCCCAUAAGACUGGGAUAACUCCGGGAAACCGGGGCUAAUACCGGAUAACAUUUUGAACUGCAUGGUUCGAAAUUGAAAGGCGGCUUCGGCUGUCACUUAUGGAUGGACCCGCGUCGCAUUAGCUAGUUGGUGAGGUAACGGCUCACCAAGGCAACGAUGCGUAGCCGACCUGAGAGGGUGAUCGGCCACACUGGGACUGAGACACGGCCCAGACUCCUACGGGAGGCAGCAGUAGGGAAUCUUCCGCAAUGGACGAAAGUCUGACGGAGCAACGCCGCGUGAGUGAUGAAGGCUUUCGGGUCGUAAAACUCUGUUGUUAGGGAAGAACAAGUGCUAGUUGAAUAAGCUGGCACCUUGACGGUACCUAACCAGAU
rnacentral:rRNA from 1 species